UUUCCUCCUGCAACACCAAAGAGAGAAAGAAAUACGGGCUGUUGCUGCUGCUGGGUUAUGUCUCCGCAAGGCUGACCCUUAGGAUCUAACCUCCCAUCCUUGCAAUGCUCCUCCUGUUUGCUGCGUGGCUGGGCAGCCCCAGCUGCUGCUGCUGUUCAGAUCACUGAUGGAAAUAGACUGUCUCAGCUGUCACUGCUGCUUACCCUGGAGUCCCCUUUGCUUUGCUUAUGCUUUCUGCUUCGACAGUUCUGUACAUGCUCUAGACUGAGAUAGGUGCAUAUGCCGCAGAUGCAGAGAUCAGCAUCAUCCUUAUUAUUAUUUAGCUCAGCCCCGAGUCUCUGGUUUCAUUUCCUUUUUCCUGAUCACGAUUCAAAUACAAUAGAAGGAAAUCACACUUAAAGAGACAGCUGCCCAUUUCUUAACUGGACUCCGGGGGAUUUAGCAAUACAAACAGCAGCAUCACGACUGAGUUGGCUCCUUAAAGGGCCAGUAGCACCCUCGCCACAGAGUCUGUGCUGGAGAGCUGACUUUGCAUUUUCACCACCCAGUGCAAAUUAAGGUUACGAUAUAGUUUUGCAGCAAGCGAACAAACAGAUAUGCAGCCUGAAAACGAUCUUCUGGGCGUGUAUCAAGUACCCAGUACUAUUUUUACUGGCACCUUUACCCUAGAGUCCUUUUGGUAAUAUAUGUGGUUAUGACAGGUUUCAGAGUAGCAGCUGUGUUAGUCUGUAUUGGCAAAAAAGAAAAGAAGGACUUGUGGCACCUUAGAAACUAACAAAUUUAUUUGAGCAUAAGCUUUCCUGAGCUACAGCUCACUUCAUCGGAUGCAUCACUAGGGCAACAAAGAUGAAAUCAGCCUGCUUUUACAGCCGAGAGAAAGCUUCCAUGGCAGGUCACACCACUGAUGAUGAAAACUAAGUUAUAGGCAGCCAGAUGAAAGGAUGUUUCACUGGAGAAAUGUGUAAAGGGUUUUUUUUCCCCUCUCUUCCUCCCUCUUUUUUUAUUGAUUUCUCUCGCUCCCAUCAAGACUUCAUUGCCUUGCGCACAAGCACAAUCCAAUUACCGUAAGCGCCUUUCUCCACAAGGCUAUUGCUCUUCGGUGUCAUCCUUUCAAGUAAUUUGCACUUUUCCUGUGACUGAAAUGGAUAUAACUGGGGUAGACCAUAGAGUGUUUCUACUUCGCGAGCUGACCCGUGUAAUGAGAUGGUGACAUACAGGAGGACUGGUUACGCACUGAACUUUCUUUCCUGACUCCAGCCUAUGCACGGGUAGGUUAUAGGUAACACAGUGGGGUAGGUAACAGAGUAUAUAAAUCACAGCAGGGUUUGAUCCAAGAAAUACAUUAC